rnacentral:piRNA from 1 species
UAGUUGCCUGGCUUGGGGGACACU